rnacentral:rRNA from 1 species
GUGUCAGCAGCCGCGGUAAGACAGAGGGUGCAAACGUUGUUCGGAAUCACUGGGCAUAAAGCGCACGUAGGCGGCCCACUAAGUCAGUUGUGAAAGCCCCCGGCUCAACCGGGGAAUGGCAUCUGAUACUGGUGGGCUCGAGGAAGGUAGGGGUGGGCGGAACUCCAGGUGGAGCGGUGAAAUGCGUAGAUAUCUGGAGGAACACCGGUGGCGAAAGCGGCCCACUGGACCUUCUCUGACGCUGAGGUGCGAAAGCUAGGGUAGCAAACGGGAUUAGAUACCCCGGUAGUCCUAGCCGUAAACGAUGGGCACUGGGUAGGGGAGAUACCUAUGUUCUUCUCUGCCGUAGCUAAUGUGUUAAGUGCCCCGCCUGGGGAGUACGCUCGCAAGGGUAAA